GCCAGCGCGCGCCCGGCCGCCCCCUCCCCGCUGUGACCCAGCCCCCUUCCGCCCGGCCCAGCAGUCUGCUCCUGGCAUCCGCGGACUGGAGGCCGGGGCCGGCGGGCGCCGCCGUCCCGGGACGCCCGGAGGAGCGGGAGACCCCCGCGCGCCCCACCCCGGCCUGGCGCCAGACGCGUGCGCGGCCUAUUGCGCCGGGCCUGGGACGGCUCCACGUGGCCCUCGGCGGGCCACCCCCUCACCUGACCCGGGCUGAGCCGGGGUGGGCGAGGGCGGCGCUGGAGACCCAAACCAGCGCCCCAGCUUGAUCUCCACUGCUCUCGCCCUAGUCCGAGCCACCACUUCUCCAGCCUGGUUUCCGCAAGGACUCGCUGCUCCCUGUUUAGUUCUCUACGGUGGAUGGUGACUUUGGCCCCUGCGGGGCUGCUCCGUCUUGUCUCCCAAGAUUUCAUCUUUCCCUUAACCACCACUUGUGUUCCCUGUGCCAUUUAUAUUCACCAUAUAUGUAGUGUCUCUCCUCCCUCUCCUAUUUUGCCUUGCCCUUUUGCCCUGUUUCCCAAGCUUAAGAUAACCCUCUCCACUCCUCAUGGAAGCAGGGCUGCCCCUUAUUUUCAUUAAGGUCUUAGCUCAAAUGUCAUAUCAAAGAGGGCCUCCCUAACUACCCAAUUUAAAAUAGCCACUCGGUCACCCUGUAUCAUAUCAUCCUAUGCUAACUUUUUGCUCAGCACAUAUCACUAUCUGAUAUUUUUCCUGUUUAUCUGUUCAUUGUCUCUGCCCAAUAUGGAUAGAUGUCUUAUUCAGAGCUGUAUCCCCAGGACUUAGAACAAGACUUGUUAUAUAGUAGACACCCAGUAUUAUGGAAUUGAAUGUUCACUCUUAUCUGGAAUCCCAGCAUUUAACACAAUCCCUGGCAAGUGUUCCCAAAAUGAAGGACUGCAUAGCAAUCCAAAGAAUACGACAUAAUUGUGCAGGCGAUAAUGCGCAGGACUGGCUUCAUGGGCAUGUAACCUAUGGAGUUGCACAGGGCUCCCAGUUUAGAAAAGCCCUAAGCAUGGUUUAAAGCUCUGCUAUCGCCAUCUUCAAAUUCUUAACUUUUCAACAUUUUUCUUUUAACAUCAGUCUUACCUAGAAACAGUCCUGGUGCCUAAAUGUCUCCCCCUUCAUGAUCUACAAGAGGUCCCUGGUCCCCUUAGAUGACAAAAUACAGUACAAAACAGGGAGAAUUAAGGCCACUGAAUGAGGAACAAUUUAAAAAUUUUUAAUUUUCAUUUCCUUCUGAGAUAUUGUAUCAUGUUAUAGUGCUUCUUAGAUUUUAAAGGGGUCACAGACACCUUUGAGAAUCUAAAAACCGAUGAUCCAUUUUCCACGGAAAGUCCUUCUGCAUAUAAAAUUUUGUACUUACGAGGAUUCAAGGCCCUGGCACUAGAGGUACACUGGGCCUAGGAAGAGAAAGGGAUCCAGUCCUAGGCUCUGAAUCUAGCAAUAACUAGGGUGCUGUACUGGUGUAUUGCUGGGUUAAGCACAGGAGCUUGUCACUUUAUUUUUCCUUUAGUCACCAGUAUUCUUGGGACCCUAAUAGGCAUGGUGAUCUCAGGCAAGGAUUUGAGACAGAGGGGAACAAACUGUUCAGAAUUUGAUAUGACUGUGAGAAGUAAUAUGCCCUAAACAAGUUAUUUAAUCUAUCUAGGCUUUAUUUUGUCAUCUCUAAAUUGCUAUAAGAAAAUAGAGUUUUAUAAAUUCCAAGUACUUUUACUAGUUACAUCUCAGAAAUAUAAACAAAUAUUAAUCCCACAAUCAGUUUUGAGCAUCUGCUGCAUGCUAAGCCCUGAAAGGACUAGAAAGAUUCAUAGAUACAGUCCCCAAAUUCAAGACCCUUAAGGUUUAGAAUAGGAAAUAAAACAUUGUUUCCUCGUGCUUUAGUCUGCAAAUAAUAGAAAACUGAUUUAAUGUACCUUUGACAAUAAGGAAAUGUAUUACUUCACAUAAUAGGAAGUCUAAAGGCAGGACAGGCUCCAGGAUUGAUUGAUUUGAGCCUUAAUAUCAUCAUCAAGAGCCCGGAUUCUUUCCAUCUCCUUUGUCAGGGUGACAGCAAGGUGACUUAAGCUGUUCUUGCAGGUCACAUCCAGACAUGACAAUAUCCAGAGGCAUAAAGGACAUUUUCUUCGAAGUCUCCUUCUAAGACAUGGAAACUUUUCCAAGAAUUAUCCUAGUGGACUUCCCUCAUGUGCCACUGGCCAGAAAUGUGGCCCAUGCCCACCCUACACCAAUCAAAAAUAGAUGGCAUUGCUCCUUGGAUUCCCGUCAUCUGGGAUGGAGUGGCUGCUAGAGUGUCCACAAUGUCGAAUGCAGAUACCUGAGUAAAGAGAACAGCAGAUCAUAUCUGAUAUGAGCUCCAAACCGAACUACAUAUCAGAGGAGGAAGGAAUUCAUGCCAUAUAUCACUUGCAUCAAAAUGUGGCCAUAUUCAGAGGACAUGUGAGAGCCUGUUCAGUUAUACAGUACAGCAAGGGGCCAAGAGAAAGAUGAAUUUGAGAUGUUAUUUGUGACCAGAUUUUGGAGCUCUGAAAUACCAUGCCAGGAACUAUAAUGUAGUUUCAUUCGCCCUGGGCUCCACUCAGAGAUGAUGAAGACAAAACCUGGAAGCAGACUGUUUGUGGUAGAAACCAGAGGAAUGGUCAGAGGACUGAGGGCUGGUUCUGCCUCUCUUGGUCACCCUGCAUGGAACAUGUGGCCAGUCACCUCUUCUAACUGAGUGUCAGCUUCUGCGUGUGUCAAGAGGUGUGUUCAAAUAGCUAAGACAAGGACAGUGGGGUACGCCUGGAAGGGGCGUGCACCACUUCUGAGUCUCGCCUUUGAAAGGAGAGGGCAUGCACCACCCUAUGCCCCACACCACUUCCUGCUUCCUCCUGCGGACAGCAGCGACCAGAGCAGCCAACCUGGACUCUCGGAUGGAAGCCACGUAUUGAUGAAGGAGCCGCCCUUCCAGCUCUUGAGCGGGUUUCAUGACUGCU